UACGUAGGUGGCGAGCGUUGUCCGGAUUUACUGGGUGUAAAGGGCGUGUAGGCGGUUUUGCAAGUCAGAUGUGAAAAUUAUGGGCUCAACCCAUAAACUGCAUUUGAAACUGCGGAACUUGAGUGAUGGAGAGGCAGGCGGAAUUCCUAGUGUAGCGGUGAAAUGCGUAGAUAUUAGGAGGAACACCAGUGGCGAAGGCGGCCUGCUGGACAUUAACUGACGCUGAGGCGCGAAAGCGUGGGGAGCAAACAGGAUUAGAUACCCUGGUAGUCCACGCUGUAAACGAUGAAUACUAGGUGUGGGGGGUCUGACCCCUUCCGUGCCGGAGUUAACACAAUAAGUAUUCCACCUGGGGAGUACGGCCGCAAGGUUGAA
rnacentral:rRNA from 1 species